GCAGUAGAACGCUGAAGAGAGGAGCUUGCUCUUCUUGGAUGAGUUGCGAACGGGUGAGUAACGCGUAGGUAACCUGCCUUGUAGCGGGGGAUAACUAUUGGAAACGAUAGCUAAUACCGCAUAACAAUGGAUGACCCAUGUCAUUUAUUUGAAAGGGGCAAAUGCUCCACUACAAGAUGGACCUGCGUUGUAUUAGCUAGUAGGUGAGGUAACGGCUCACCUAGGCGACGAUACAUAGCCGACCUGAGAGGGUGAUCGGCCACACUGGGACUGAGACACGGCCCAGACUCCUACGGGAGGCAGCAGUAGGGAAUCUUCGGCAAUGGGGGCAACCCUGACCGAGCAACGCCGCGUGAGUGAAGAAGGUUUUCGGAUCGUAAAGCUCUGUUGUAAGUCAAGAACGAGUGUGAGAGUGGAAAGUUCACACUGUGACGGUAGCUUACCAGAAAGGGACGGCUAACUACGUGCCAGCAGCCGCGGUAAUACGUAGGUCCCGAGCGUUGUCCGGAUUUAUUGGGCGUAAAGCGAGCGCAGGCGGUUUGAUAAGUCUGAAGUUAAAGGCUGUGGCUCAACCAUAGUUCGCUUUGGAAACUGUCAAACUUGAGUGCAGAAGGGGAGAGUGGAAUUCCAUGUGUAGCGGUGAAAUGCGUAGAUAUAUGGAGGAACACCGGUGGCGAAAGCGGCUCUCUGGUCUGUAACUGACGCUGAGGCUCGAAAGCGUGGGGAGCGAACAGGAUUAGAUACCCUGGUAGUCCACGCCGUAAACGAUGAGUGCUAGGUGUUGGAUCCUUUCCGGGAUUCAGUGCCGCAGCUAACGCAUUAAGCACUCCGCCUGGGGAGUACGACCGCAAGGUUGAAACUCAAAGGAAUUGACGGGGGCCCGCACAAGCGGUGGAGCAUGUGGUUUAAUUCGAAGCAACGCGAAGAACCUUACCAGGUCUUGACAUCCCGAUGCUAUUUCUAGAGAUAGAAAGUUACUUCGGUACAUCGGUGACAGGUGGUGCAUGGUUGUCGUCAGCUCGUGUCGUGAGAUGUUGGGUUAAGUCCCGCAACGAGCGCAACCCCUAUUGUUAGUUGCCAUCAUUCAGUUGGGCACUCUAGCGAGACUGCCGGUAAUAAACCGGAGGAAGGUGGGGAUGACGUCAAAUCAUCAUGCCCCUUAUGACCUGGGCUACACACGUGCUACAAUGGUUGGUACAACGAGUUGCGAGUCGGUGACGGCAAGCUAAUCUCUUAAAGCCAAUCUCAGUUCGGAUUGUAGGCUGCAACUCGCCUACAUGAAGUCGGAAUCGCUAGUAAUCGCGGAUCAGCACGCCGCGGUGAAUACGUUCCCGGGCCUUGUACACACCGCCCGUCACACCACGAGAGUUUGUAACACCCGAAGUCGGUGAGGUAACCUUUGGAGCCAGCCG
rnacentral:rRNA from 1 species